UCACUUCUUAUAUAUCUUCCUGCCAUUUUUUAUGCUAACAUGGCCUUUAUCCUCUGGCCACGCUAUGAAACUACAAUACACACCGUCUGCAGUUAUUAAAAACACAACUCAACACACAAUAAUGCACUAUCAAAUUUCACCUAGCACAAGGUUUCUCUCUCUCUUGUUCAUCUCCAGUUCAGCUUACAAAUUGCUUUCGAAGGUUGUUGCCCCUUUCUGGUUGCUACCAGUAAAGUUUAGUUCUUUCUGAAGUUUUGGUUGGUGGGUAUGUUCUGAUUUUUCGUUCUAGUCUUUCUGUUUGGGUAAGUUUUGAUUUUCCUUGUUGAGGUUAGAUGUGGUUUGUAGUUUUGAAUUUUGAUGAUUUUGGGUUCUUAAAUUUUGUUAAUUUUUUGCAAGGUUAGGCCUAUAUGUUGCUAAAUUUAAAGGUUAGAUAUUUUUCCUCUUUUUAAAGUUUUUCUUCUUGGUUGCGUUUGAUUUCUGAUCAUAGUGUUUCUGUUUGAUAAAUUAAUGAUUUCUGUGGGGUUGAAUGCACAGGUUAUAGUCUUAAAUUUAUGAUGAAUUGAGGUUCCAUUAAGGUUGAUUGUUUUGGUUUCUGUUUGAGAUUUUGGUUUAUUUGAUCUGAUCAUGAUUUUUUUCUGUGAUGUCUCUUGUGAGUUUUGGAUUGCAUGUGGCUUGUUGAGGCCUUCAAGAAGAGGGCUUUUGCGUUUCUGACAUCAGCAUUUACUUUGCCAUUUUGGUUUUCGAGUCUCUCUCCAAUGUUUUCAUUUAUUGUUUUUUGAGUUGAUUCUUGGUAUUCAUGAUUUUUUGGUCAAAGGUACUUUACUAUCUUACAACUUUAAGAAAUUUUUAUCAAAAGGGGUCUUUUCACAUCAGCAUUCUGUUAGGACAAAGGUUUAUAUUAGGAUGAAAGGAAAGAAGGCAAUGGGUGUUGGGGAAACAAGUGGCAAAGCUGUAGAGUCUACAAUUGGUGAGCAUCCAGUAUUAAUAAGUGGCAAGCAUUCCAAGAGGAGACAGGCAGCAGACAAAGCAGGCAGCCAUGAAGAAGCAGAAUUCAGGCCAUCAAAUGAGGGGUCCACUGAGGUCCCAAGUGCUGAGGUGGCUGCUCAAGAGAAGGGAGUUGGUUAUGGAAGAUAUGAUGAAAUAGACAGUGAGAAGGAAAAGGAGGGCAGAGAGAAAAUUGCACAAGAAUGAGGAAAAGGAGAGACCAACCUCUCGAAUUGCUGGAGCAAGAGUUCUUCUACAGUUGUUUCAAUUAAAUCUAGUUUAUGUUAUGUUUAUGCUUAUGCUUUGGUCUUGCUAGUAAAGAAUCCAUUGUCAGCAAGAAGUUUCUAUUGUAUUCCCCAAACUUCGAAUUAAUACAAAUACUAUUUUCUA